rnacentral:misc_RNA from 1 species
AACUUUUGACAAUGGAUCUCUUGGCUCUCGCAUCGAUGAAGAACGCAGCGAAAUGCGAUACGUAAUGUGAAUUUCAGAAUUCAGUGAAUCAUCGAAUCUUUGAACGCACCUUGCGCCGCUUGGAAUUCCGAGGGGCACACCCGUUUGAGUGUCGUGAACAUCCUUCAACCUUUCUUGGUUUGUUGACCGGAGAAGGCUUGGACUUUGGGGGUCUUUCAUUGCUGGCCUCUUUGAAGCCAGCUCCUCCUAAAUGGAUUAGUGUGGUCUGCUUUGCCGAUCCUUGACGUGAUAAGAUGUUUCUACGUCUUGGGUUUCGCACUGUCGCUUUAGACCCCGCUUCUAACCGUCUUGCAUUCAAGACAGAGUUUUUAAACCUUGACCUCAAAUCGGGUGAGACUACCCGCUGAACUUAAGCAUAUCAAUAAGCGGAGGCU